AGGGCUCCUGGUUCCCCCACCCUCCUGGCAAAUGUAGUGCACUGUAUAGGGAGUAAGAUGGUGUUUUGGACAUACCCUAUAAUGACAACAAAAAGAAUGAGCCGGGGAAGGAUUCAGGGUUGUGGUGCUGAGAGCACUGAGGGUAGCUUAUUCUCUGAAAGCCAUGUACACCUGGGACUCAUUCAGUGGAGUGAAACAUUAACAAACCAAUGUAGAAUAUACACAGAUUUCAAGUCCAGGCUUGAAACGUGCACGUCUGUUCAAUCUGCAAUUUGUUCUGAAAUGUAUUAUCAUCCUGCUGAAUAAGCACCUGAUGCUUUGUUGAUUUUAAUUUGACAUUUUUAACCUGUAUAGUUUGAUCUGGAGUUUGAUUUUGUUGGGAUGAAUGGAUGCACCUUUGAGAAAGGUCUAUUCCCCCUUUAUAUCGUUUUAUAAAAUCUUUGCCAUGCCAAGCGACCUGUAGGAUAUAGGUUAUUGGGGGGGUUAAUAAGUUCAGGGAAAGAGUAGCUAUCUCUCAAAUGGAACCCUAUUCCCUAUAUAGGCCUAGUGCACUACUUUUGACCAGGGUAGUACUGCACUAUAUAGGGUGGCAUUUGAGAUGCAGUCAAUAUAAUCUUGAAAACUAGGUCAUUUUAUAGCGGAACCAUGGCACGCUUUUAAGUUUUUAAAAGAUGUACAAAAGAUAACAGCCACAUCUAUGUACUUUUCCAUCUGAAUAGAUUAUAAGACGAGUAGAGCUGCAGGGCCUUUUGGGAAAUGUCUCUUCUUUUGAGACCCCUUGAAUCUACACCAACCAUCCAAGAUCCAUCCAGCUUUCUUUUGGAGAUAAUUCUGUGGUUUGGGCUAGGUGAGGAUUUGGGGUUGGUUUAAAAUGUUUUUUAUUUUAUUUUUUAAAUCUCAUUGGUGCAAUUUUCACAUGUAUGUGGUAUAUUUCCACAACUCUUAAUACGAAAUUCGAAACAGAUCAUCAAAAAGCCCGUUUCAAAACUAAGCACAUUUUCAAUUGACUAAGUACAACAGUCACUUUAUUUUUACACCAAAUUUAAUCAGUUUCAUCUAGAAAUGCAUGUUUCACAUUGCAAUACAUGUUCAUAUACAGUCAUUGCUUUUCUCAAUGCUCACAUUACUUUAGGUAUGAUUCUCUUUUAAGAGGUUUUCCUAUUACAUAAUCCAACUGCUCUUUAUCAGGGAUCACUUAAACCCAUGGAACGUUUGAUUAAACCCAUGGAACGUUUGAUUAAACCUACGGAACGUUUGAUUAAACCUACGGAACGUUUGAUUAAACCUACGGAACGUUUGAUUAAACCUACGGAACGUUUGAUUAAACCCAUGGAACGUUUGAUUAAACCCAUGGAACGUUUGAUUAAACCAAUGGAACGUUUGAUUAAACCUACGGAACGUUUGGUAAAUGGAUCGAUUUUACAUUUUGUCUACUACAGAUUUUGAGAACUAAAUAAUGACAAUGGAUGUCUGUAGAAACGUAAGUAACUAUGUAUUAUUAUUAUGAUUUUACUUCACAGUAAGUAAAACAAAUCUGAUAUUGACAAAGUCAGACGUACUAUAUGUUACAAAUUAAAAAGUUUAUUGGUCGCGUACACAGAUUAGCGGAUGUCACAGCAGGCGCAGCGAAAUGCUUGUGUUUCUAGCUCCUGCGUUGCAGUAAUACAAUGCCAAUACGCAAAUAAUCCAGAAAGUCCUUAACAAUAAAUAAAUGCUUCACUAAAAUAGCAUUGGGUAGUACGGUCCAUUUACACAGCAAACACUUUUACCAAAAGCGACAACAGUCCACUUUUUGGUACGUGAUCCCAGUAGGAAUGGAACCCACACCUCUGGUGUUGCUAGUGCCAUGCUCUUAUGAACUAUAGUGACGGCAGUGGUUAGAGCAUUGGACUAGUAACCAGAAGGUUGCAAGUUCAAACCCCCGAGCUGACAAGGUACAAAUCUGUCGUUCUGCCCCUGAACAGGUAGUUAACCCACUGUUGCCAUUGAAAAUAAGAAUUUGUUCUUAACUGACUUGCCUAGUUAAAUAAAGGUAAAAAAAACAGACACGUACAGAACCACUACAAUACAUUAAGUACACUUGAGUACAAUACAUUAAGUACACCUGAGUACAAUACAUUAAGUACACCUGUACACGUGGAAGACACUUCCACCCCCACGAGCGAACCACCACCCUCUAGGCCAUGGAUGACUCAUGCAAUGACGUCAAUCCAGACCUAUAUCAGGCCUGGUGCAUGAACAAUUAGGAUAUUUACUGUGAUUUCGAUGAGAACCUACGGACAAAUGUUCCAGACAGGUUUGAUGCAAUCUAACGCCUUAAACUUUUCUUUCCUUUGAUUACCUUAUGAAAGAUUACCAGAGUUCCCCAUGUCUAUCCCAUGUCUUCAAUGAUCAGACAUGGGAUAGAAGUUAUUGACAUUUCAAGUCCAGUUCAUUUUAAUGGGUAGUGCAAGUGUAUUGCCGAAUGUGAAACAGUGUCAUGUACUGUAAUUUACACUACUGGAGCAUACUACAUUCAAAGAGCAAAUUGAAACGUAUCUUAAACGUGUUUUUGGAUUAAUUGGUUAAAAUAACUAAAUUAAGGAGAUGUCAUUAGGUUGUGUUUUGGUGAUUAAACCAAUGUUCUUAUUUCACAGUAAACUUAUAUUUUGAAUUAAUGGUUGUGUAGUGAACGAUGUCUACAAACCAAAUACAUUAAUAUUGAAAGGAUUUGAAUAUAAGACUGGCUGCAUUACAAGUGUUACCAGUUUGGGGUUCUGUACAUAUUUGUGAAAAUAGCACCAAAUCGUUUAAAAAAAAAAACGAAAACCAUGUGGGAUACAUACAUUUUUAACAGUGAACAUUUGCAAUGUUUUCAAUCAAUGAUUUCUAUAUUGAUUGAUAUCAAUUUGUAAAGGUUUGUGUUUGGG
ensembl:lncRNA